rnacentral:lncRNA from 1 species
UCCCAUUUCGUUUCAUUUCAAACACACUACUUUAUUCCUUCUAGUGGUUUCGGCUUCAAAAAUAAGAUGACAGAAGAGAACACAAAUUCUUAUUCUGCAACACAUUGCUACUACUUUUACUUCAGAAAGCAAGAUUAGACAUGUGGAUCGAACUGAGUAGACACCUGGUGGAUGCAUGACAAAUCAUGAACAGUUUCAGCUUAGAACAUGUCUUGUUUUAAUCUCUUCCACAGCCUCAGUUCCUCAACUGUGAAGAUGUAUAAAGAUUAUUUUCACCUAAUUUGGUUGGCUUCUUCAAUGCUGUUUUUAUUGUUUUAUCUGCAUAUAUCCUAUAGCUGCUGCCUUUUGUGUGCUUGAAGGUGCGUGUGCACAUAGGGCUCAUUCUUAUUAAUUAAGUUUUCCAAUAUAUAUGUAUAUAGGUAUAGAUGAUUAAAAGUCAUACCUAAAAUAUUAAUCACUAAAUUGAAACUAUUCAAUGGUUGUUUGAUUUAAGAGUUAAGAAUAUAUGUCAACUGAUCGUAGGGGAUAUACUAUAUUUUUACCAUAUGUUUACAACUGGUGUUCAUUGAACCCUCUAUAGAUCUUGUCUCCAUUUUGUUUGAUCUUAUUUUGGCGAAUAUUCUAGGUGUGCCAAGAGAUCAGAGAGGGAGAGAGAGAGAGAGAGAGUUUGCAAGAAGUUUGUUGGCUUCUCAAGUAUCCUCACAACUACCCACAAAUGAAUUUGGUUAAAGUUUGAUGAUAUAAGAAUAAACAACUAUGCUUUUAGCAGAUUAAGCUGACUAUCAAAAACACAAAGCAGCAGGUGCCCUUCAUGUCUGGUGCAACCACUCCUGGCAUUUGACCAGUGAACUUCCCUUGUACUAUUAUUCUUAUUCCCACUUUUCUUCCUUCCAAAUUUCUCCCAACUUUUUCAAUAGGGAAGCUCAUGCCAAGGACCCCUUUUUAACUUUCCCUUCUAAACCAGUUAUAACACCACACAUAAAAGAAUACGCAAUAAUAUUCUAACAUGACCCACAGUGUAAAGUCAUCUAAGAAAAUAACAAAAAAUAUAAUUAAAAAUAAAGAGCGUAAAAGAUGAAAGGAACUGCAUCAAAGUGGAACCCUUCAUGUUCAAAUGAUUCUUUCUUUUGUUUUGCACCACUUACUCUUUCCCUUCUUUUUAGCGCAAAACAAGACCUUCUUGUCUAGGAAGAGAAUCUACCUUUAAGAGUCUCUGUCUUAUACUCAUCCGUGAACCCAGAGCAUGAUCUAUAUGCCCUCCUUCUAAGCCUAAAUAUUGUCAAACAAAAAUGGAAAAACCACCCAUUAAUUCUUGAGGAAAAGCAUAAGGAAAAUACAUUAGAUUAUCGGCAGAUAUCAUGCUUGGUCAUCAUUUGUACAUCCAUUAUUAAUGUCCAUGGGUACAGUAUCCGUGUACAAGCAGCAAACUCAUCAGGAAGAUAGAAUAGAAAAGAUUAUCCUAUCCUGUGAAAACCAAGUAGUACUUGCCCACCUCCUCAUGAGUACCAUCAUGACUUCCACCAAUAUAAUUAAACGUAGUUUUUAUCAAGACCCACUGCGCUUUAUGGGUUAUUUUAACAAAACAUGAUUAUCAAUGUCGUUACCGUUAUCAUCAUCAUUUGAUUAGUUUAAAUGAUAAGAAGGGUAGACAAAAUGGUGGGCUUAAGAAAAGCCAAAAGUGGGCCAGCCCACUUGAAUCUAAGACACUGAUCUAUUAGGUGACAGAAAGGAACAUGUUAAAAGAAGAAGCGGCUGACAAAUGGAACACUUCCACGCGUCACAGUGAUGGUGACUCGGCACCAAUGGAUGGCCACUAACACCUUUUUCUAUUAGUAAUGGAAACAAGUUUGGAGGCUAAGUAUAAAAUUACCUAACAGAACACACUGUCUUUCCAAAUAAUAAAUGCAUGAAAGGUCAUCAAUUAGCUGUGAGGCUUUGUAUCAACUACGGCUGUUGUAUGUGCAUUCAGUCCCCUUUGACAUGUAAGUCCUAGGAUAAGCCUGUUUAGUUCAACCAUGUCUUUCCAAAUGACAAAACCUUCUUUAAUGUAUCGUACAAUUGAGCAAACCACACACAACAGCUCCAUCAUUCAUAGAAAAUAAAUGUUCGAUCACUUUUUCUUAAUUAUCUCAUUGACUUGUUUUUUUCUUGGUAUUUUUAUUUGUCUUGUAUGCCAAGCACCAACACAUGACAAAUGAGAGUACAGUGGAGGCCAAAUAAUAAUAAUUAUUAUAUGUUCUUUAGGGAGGGGCUGCCAAAAGAAAAGAGAGUUUUGGGACCCUGAUGAAGUCAUGUUUCAUUUUUUGUUUUGGGUAUUACAUGCAGGUGUAGGUAGAGAGGCUCAUUGUUGAGGCAUGGCAGAAAAAGAGAGGCUGCAGGACGAUGGAGGCGCGUGGGUUUGGGGUUGUUUAUUCAAUUAUAACGUGCUAGGUAAGUGGCGUGGAUGGCACGAUGAUGUCCUGGCGGUUCAGCAAUUUUUGGACCACUGCACGCACCACUAGAUGCUUGCCUUUACAUGUUCUCUCUCCCUUCCUCUCCAAGUAUAAAUAGGCAUAUAGAUUAAAAUAUACUGUAUUAAUUUAGUAUGUAUACUUGUAUUGUUGCAAGAUCACUAUUAAAAAGCGUGUCAAAAAAGUUAUGUGAUGGUUCCCUAAAA